rnacentral:rRNA from 1 species
UACGAAGGGGGCUAGCGUUGUUCGGAUUUACUGGGCGUAAAGCGCACGUAGGCGGAUCUUUAAGUCAGAGGUGAAAUCCCAAGGCUCAACCUUGGAACUGCCUUUGAUACUGGGGAUCUUGAGUCCGGGAGAGGUGAGUGGAACUGCGAGUGUAGAGGUGAAAUUCGUAGAUAUUCGCAAGAACACCAAUGGCGAAGGCGGCUCACUGGCCCGGUACUGACGCUGAGGUGCGAAAGCGUGGGGAGCAAACAGG